rnacentral:rRNA from 1 species
GACGAACGCUGGCGGCGUGCCUAAUACAUGCAAGUAGAACGCACAGUUUAUACCGUAGCUUGCUACACCAUAGACUGUGAGUUGCGAACGGGUGAGUAACGCGUAGGUAACCUGCCUGGUAGCGGGGGAUAACUAUUGGAAACGAUAGCUAAUACCGCAUAAUAUUGAUUAUUGCAUGAUAAUUGAUUGAAAGAUGCUAUUGCAUCACUACCAGAUGGACCUGCGUUGUAUUAGCUAGUAGGUGAGGUAACGGCUCACCUAGGCGACGAUACAUAGCCGACCGGAGAGGGGGAUCGGCCACACUGGGACUGAGACACGGCCCAGACUCCUACGGGAGGCAGCAGUAGGGAAUCUUCGGCAAUGGACGAAAGUCUGACCGAGCAACGCCGCGUGAGUGAAGAAGGUUUUCGGAUCGUAAAGCUCUGUUGUAAGAGAAGAACGGGUGUGAGAGUGGAAAGUUCACACUGUGACGGUAUCUUACCAGAAAGGGACGGCUAACUACGUG